CAGGACAAAGACUGGAGGCUCUUAGCUUCAACAGAAACCUUUUCCGAAUCGUUUCCCUGCUGUUUCUGCUUCACGUCGGACAGACACAGGAUUUUCAAACACAAUUGAUGAAUGGCAUACAAAGAGUAAGAGAAGGAAUCAGAGUCAUUAUUGAAGGUGAAAGUGGUACUGAAUAUAUCCUAACACUUUUGGAUGACGCAAACUCUGUCGCAAACAAGAAGCAGCUC